CCCUUUGCUUUUUACUUACUCUUUCUUUGGCAAAUUCCUAAAAGCGCAGCAGUGGCUGGGGAAUAUUGGGUCCACAGAGUCCAACUUGCAGCAUGGGUGUUCUCUGAGUGAGAACAGCCUAGGCACCAUGCGCUGUUGCUGAUGACACCUGGAUCAUGAUGGAACCCCACUUGCCUGUGCAGUACAGGUUACGACAGACCCUUUCAGCAAUUACAACAAAGCUUGCUUUCAAUUAAAAUGGAAUAGAAAUGGUUUUCCUCUGUUUAAGUGACUUACAUGUGGAGUGCUCCAAUGGAUGGCGCUACUAAGGUGACUUUAUCACUAGGGGUAGCCUCUAGGUGGUAGAUUUGACCUGGAGGUUGCUGAGGCGUCCGCACUAACUCAACAUGAGGUCGGAAUAAGUGGGCACCUGUUAGUGAAGCUUUACAUCUGGAAAUCUUGGAGUGGCCCCUUCACCCCGAAAAUGAUGCCCACGUGUGUUGGAAUCCGUAAGCAGGCAUCUCUACAGCCAGCCCCAAGGGACCUGACAAACUGGUUAUCCAGCAACUGUGAGGCCACCAGAAACUACCUGCGCAUGCUCUGGGUCACCGUUGCGAACUCGGAGCUCCCCCCACUUCUCUCUUGCCUCAUCCAGAGAUGGUCUCUGUGACCCUUUCCCCUAAUAAA